GGUUGUAGCUCAAUGGUAGAGCGCUUGCCUCGCACCUAUGAGACCCUGGGUUCGGUCCUCAGCACCA
rnacentral:tRNA from 1 species